rnacentral:rRNA from 1 species
AUUGACCUCGGAUCAGGUAGGGAUACCCGCUGAACUUAAGCAUAUCAAUAAGCGGAGGAAAAGAAACCAACAGGGAUUGCCCUAGUAACGGCGAGUGAAGCGGCAACAGCUCAAAUUUGAAAUCUGGCUCCUUUGGGGUCCGAGUUGUAAUUUGUAGAGGGUGCUUUGGCGUUGGUUGUGGUCUAAGUUCCUUGGAACAGGACGUCGCAGAGGGUGAGAAUCCCGUACGUGGCCGCCAGCCUUCGCCGUGUAAAGCCCCUUCGAUGAGUCGAGUUGUUUGGGAAUGCAGCUCUAAAUGGGAGGUAAAUUUCUUCUAAAGCUAAAUAUUUGCCAGAGACCGAUAGCGCACAAGUAGAGUGAUCGAAAGAUGAAAAGCACUUUGGAAAGAGAGUCAAAAAGCACGUGAAAUUGUUGAAAGGGAAGCGCUUGCAGCUAGACGUGCCUUGGGUUGAUCAGCCGGACUUUUGCCCGGUGCACUCUUCCUUUGGCAGGCCAGCAUCAGUUUGGGCGGCUGGAUAAAGGUCUGUUAAACGUGACUUCCUUCGGGGAGAGCUUAUAGGGCAGACGACAUGCAGCCAGCCUGAACUGAGGUCCGCGCAUCUGCUAGGAUGCUGGCAUAAUAGCUGUAAGCGGCCCGUCUUGAAACACGGACCAAGGAGUCUAACAUCUAUGCGAGUGUUUGGGUGUCAAGCCCGAGCGCGUAAUGAAAGUAAACGGAGGUGGGAACCUUUUAGGUGCACCAUCGACCGAUCUUGAUGUCUUCGGAUGGAUUUGAGUAAGAGCAUAGCUGUUGGGACCCGAAAGAUGGUGAACUAUGCCUGAAUAGGGUGAAGCCAGAGGAAACUCUGGUGGAGGCUCGCAGCGGUUCUGACGUGCAAAUCGAUCGUCAAAUUUGGGCAUAGGGGCGAAAGACUAAUCG